GAUGAACGCUGGCGGCGUGCUUAACACAUGCAAGUCGAACGGAAAGGCCCAAGCUUGCUUGGGUACUCGAGUGGCGAACGGGUGAGUAACACGUGGGUGAUCUGCCCUGCACUUCGGGAUAAGCCUGGGAAACUGGGUCUAAUACCGGAUAGGACCACAUUUUGGAUGGUGUGGUGGAAAGUUUUUCGGUGUGGGAUGAGCUCGCGGCCUAUCAGCUUGUUGGUGGGGUAAUGGCCUACCAAGGCGUCGACGGGUAGCCGGCCUGAGAGGGUGUACGGCCACAUGGGGACUGGGACCGGGCCACGGCCCCUACGGGGGGGGGAGGUGGGGAAUGUGGAACAUAGGGGCGGGGCGUGAUCCAGCGCCGCCGGGGGGGGGUGAGGGGCGUUGGGGUUGGAACUCUCUUGCGCUUGGAGCGAGGAUUUUUUUGACGGGACCAGGAGAAGAAGCCCCGGCUAACUCCGUG
rnacentral:rRNA from 1 species